rnacentral:rRNA from 1 species
GAGCACGUAGGUGGGUUUGUAAGUCAAAUGUGAAAGCCUUCUGUUCAACGGAAGAAUUGCAUCUGAAACUGCUAAUCUUGAGUAUAGGAGGGGAGAAUGGAACUUCUGGUGGAGCGGUGAAAUGCGUAGAUAUCAGAAGGAACGCCGGCGGCGAAAGCGAUUCUCUGGCCUAUUACUGACACUCAGUGUGCGAAAGCUAGGGGAGCAAACGGGAUUAGAUACCCCGGUAGUCCUAGCCGUAAACGAUGGGCACUAAGUAGAGGGAAUUACCUAUGUUCUCUCUGCCGUAGCUAACGCAUUAAGUGCCCCGCCUGGGGAGUACGGCCGCAAGGCUAAAACUCAAAAGAAUUGACGGGGGCUCGCACAAGCGGUGGAGCAUGUGGCUUAAUUCGAUGCAACGCGAAAAACCUCACCGGGGCUUGACAUGAUAGAAGUAGGAACCUGAAAGGGGGACGAACGGUAUCCAGUCCGUAACUAUUACAGGUGUUGCAUGGCUGUCGUCAGCUCGUGUCGUGAGACGUUGGGUUAAGUCCCCCUAACGAGCGAAACCCUUUGUUUUUAGUUACCAGCGGGUUAUGCCGGGUACUCUAGAAAGACUGCCGUCGUCAAGACGGAGGAAGGUGGGGAUUGACGUCAAAUUCAUCAUGGCCCUUUAUGCCCCGGGCUGCACACGUGCUACAAUGGGUCGGUACAAACGGAAAGCGAAGCCGAGAGGUGAAGCGAAAUC